CAAGUUUAGGGACGUCUACAGUAGAUAACUCUAUAUAAUAAGACGAUGAAGAAAAAGAAAACUCAUUAAUAAUUUGUAAUUGAUUGCACUUACAAAUUGCCAUGAUAUGAGCUUCAGCAAGUAAUAAAAUCAAGGCUUUUUAUCACAAAUGGUCCUUUAGGUUUUUUUGUGACACUAAUAGUCCUUCAGGUUAUCAUCUACCCAUUCAAAUGGUCCUUCUAGUUAAUUUCCGUCAAAAUUGGCGUUAAAAAAAUC
rnacentral:lncRNA from 1 species